rnacentral:lncRNA from 1 species
UUACAUAAUUCCCCAUUUGAAUGGCCUUUUCUUUUUGCUUAGACAAUGCCUACGCCUAGCCACAGCAGCUCCCUCAUACAGACUCCGCAAGCCAAGAGGCCGUGGAGGCAAAUGCAGGCAGCCAGCACACCUCGAACAGCCACCUUGACUGCGGGUGUGUCACCCUAGUCACCAAGGAAAAAUUUGAGGGAAAGCGACAGGCAAUGUGAACAGCCACUUCUCCAUGUAAACUAUACUCUUUCUCUCGGAUGACUCCUACGCCUCGCCACGCCUGCACACUUGUGCACAAAGAUGCCGCGGAGACACGUGCAGGUCAGAGGCAAGAAGCAGUGGCACUGGUGUCGACAGUCACCCAAUUUCUUUUUCUUACACUGAGGCAGCCAGCACACCUCGAACAGCCACCUUGACUGCGGGUGUGUCAGUAGAUUCCUGUUGUACAUAUGCUCAUAAUAAACUUCAGUAAACUUGAACUUGAUAAUAAACUUGAAGGCAAAUGGGA